rnacentral:rRNA from 1 species
UACGGAGGAUCCGAGCGUUAUCCGGAUUUAUUGGGUUUAAAGGGUGCGUAGGCGGCCUGGUAAGUCAGGGGUGAAAGACGGUAGCUUAACUAUCGCAGUGCCCCUUGAUACUGCUGGGCUUGAAUGUAGUUGAGGUAGGCGGAAUGUGACAAGUAGCGGUGAAAUGCAUAGAUAUGUCACAGAACACCAAUUGCGAAGGCAGCUUACUAAAGUAUGAUUGACGCUGAGGCACGAAAGCGUGGGGAUCAAACAGG